rnacentral:rRNA from 1 species
UACGGAGGGUGCAAGCGUUAUCCGGAAUCACUGGGUUUAAAGGGUGCGUAGGCGGCUAAAUAAGUCAGAGGUGAAAGUUUGUCGCUUAACGAUAGAACUGCCUUUGAUACUGUUAAGCUUGAAAGUAGGUGAGGUUGGCGGAAUGUGACAUGUAGCGGUGAAAUGCAUAGAUAUGUCAUAGAACACCGAUUGCGAAGGCAGCCGGCGAACCUGACUUUGACGAUGAGGCACGAAAGCGUGGGUAGCGAACAGG